UCCCUCUUCGGAUCAAUCUUUGCUCCACGAGCUAACGUGGGAUGCGAAAAAUACGGGGGGCUCCUGUGCUGCGUACCUUAUCGAGAUGGAAAGUUGUCCCUUCGGUUGCGUCUUUCGUCGUUGCAUCCCGUCGGAUGCUCGGUCGAACUAGAUGGAAGGGCUCGUGCUCCGCGGACAUCUCUCAUGCGAUCGUCCGGAUGUGGAGCCCGAGUGCCUUCCUGUCCUCUCGGAUGCGGAAUUGCCCUUGUGAUGGGCGUGGGGUCAAAGGCCCUUGGACCCGAACGUGGGAGCGUUUAACGCUAAACAAACGGAAUGACGCUCUUGCCUUGUCCUUGAUCGCGUGGAGCUCUCGGGCUACCCGCAAAGGAUCAUGCUCGGCGGACGUCGUGAAGGAAUGCUACCUGGUUG
rnacentral:misc_RNA from 1 species